GCUAUGCAAGUCUCAUAUGUUGCAUCCGAGAGUGCUUUUAGCACUAGUGGUCGAAUACUAGACCCACACAGGAGUUGUUUGAGUCACUAUAUGAUAGAGGUCUUAAUGUGCACAGAACAAUGGCUGAAAGAUGAUAUUCACUUCACUGAAAAAGGAUUAAUCACCAUUCAACAACUCCUUGCUGAAGUUGAGCUGCAUGAUACUCUUGAGAAAGAGUUUGGAACUGUCACAUAUUGAAGUUGUUGGCUGCUUUGGAGUUUGGAGUACGCAACGUGACUCGGCAGUCUCGGCUUAAUGGGAAUGGCAAGCUUUGGUCCGGAUACAACUUUGUUUCUUUUUUUCUCUUAUCUCGGCUUAGUGUGUGCUUUAACACUUUUUCUCUUAUCUCGGCUUAAUGUGUGGUUUGACACUUUUUCUCUUAUCUCGGCUUAAUGUGUGGUUUGACACUUUUUCUCUUAUCUCGGCUUAAUGUGUGGUUUGACACUUUUUCUCUAAUGCCUCGGCUUAAUGUGCUUUGACACUUUUCUCUUAUCUCUUUUGCUUGACUAGUUAGAACUAGUAUGUUCUUCUUUU